AUAGUUCAGUGGUAGAGCACUUGCUUAGCAAGCAGGAGACCUGAGCUCAAUUUUCAGU
rnacentral:tRNA from 1 species